UCGAGGGCUUUACUGUCUCUUGGUAUUGGGUUUCGGUGUCAUAUGUAUAGGAUAGUUGGGAGGCUAAGAAGUAUGUCCGUCAGGAUAUAUGGAGCCGCUGGUGGAAUACCAACCAUAUUACACUGGAAUUCUAAUUUGAGGUUUGUAGCCUUGAAGACAGUGCUAGGUGGGCAGUUUGACUGGGGCGGUCGCCUCCGAAAGAGUAACGGAGGCGCCCAAAGGUUCCCUCAGGUUGGAUGGAAAUCAACCGCAGAGUGUAAUGGCAGAAGGGAGCUUAACUGCGAGACUGACGGGUCGAGCAGGUGCGAAAGCAGGGCAUAGUGAUCCGGCGAUUCCGAAUGGAAGGGUCGUCGCUCAACGGAUAAAAGCUACCCUGGGGAUAACAGGCUGAUUUUGCCCGAGAGUCCAUAUCGACAAUAGGA
rnacentral:rRNA from 1 species